GCUACAAGCCAGGCUAUCGCUUCUUAUUUAUUUAAGAGGAGGAAAGUCCGGACAGCACAGAGCAAUGCACCGGUGAAGAGCCGGGUGAUGUGAAAGCAUCAACAGAUAGUGCCACAGAAAAUAACUGCCUUUCUCCCUCUCUACUUGUGGAGAGGGUUGGGGUGAGGUUGAAAACGUAGGGUAAGAGCCUACGGCUUUUGAUGGUAACAUCAUUGGCGGGUAAACCUUGCAUGCUGAAAUGCCACAUAUAGUAUCGUUUGAGGACGGCUCGUCCAAGACCCGCCGAAAGGAGGACACGGUACAGGGUAGGCAGCUUGAUUCCGGUGAGUAAUUACCGGGACAGAUAAAUGAUAGUCCACAACCCGCCUUCGCUUAGGCUUUGGCGGGCAGACAGAAUCCGGCUUACCGGCUUGUAGCUUUU
rnacentral:RNase_P_RNA from 1 species